CCCUUAGAUGUCCUGGGCCGCACGCGCGCUACACUGAUGCAUUCAACGAGUAUUUCCUUGGCCGAGAGGCCUGGGCAAUCUUUUAAACCUGCAUCGUGAUAGGGAUAGAUUAUUGCAAUUAUUAAUCUUGAACGAGGAAUUCCUAGUAAACGCAAAUCAUCAAUUUGCAUUGAUUACGUCCCUGCCCUUUGUACACACCGCCCGUCGCACCUACCGAUUGGAUGGUCCGGUGAAGCCUCGGGAUUGUGGUUCUUGCCGCUUUAUUGUGGCGUGACCGCGAGAACUUGUCUAAACCUUAUCAUCUAGAGGAAGGUGAAGUCGUAACA
rnacentral:rRNA from 1 species